GUUGUGUGAAGGUAAAUUUGAGAAUCUGCCGAGCUGGUCUGUGGCGUACUGGAGACAGUGGUUUAUUUUACAGAAACACAGAGAGAUCCUUGAGCUAACUUGUUGAAGCAGACAUGGAGAGCGACUCUGAAACACACAGUGGUGAAGAUACUACUCCAGAUGACUGCUGACUGACUGUGAAAAACUUACACAGUCCUGCUGCC